GCGAGCUUGCCAUCUGCGAGCUUGCUCAGUGAAGCGUCCCCAGGCUUUGGGCUGUCUGCUCAUUCCCAGGCCUGGCCCAGCCCGUGCCCUUAAAGUGCUGCGUUGCCCUUGGCUUAACCCCUGCGAGUUCUCCUCGAACGGCCGGAUAGGUGCUGUACGACAAAAGCGUUGCUAGGGCCCUGUGCGCAGGACGGGAGCAGGCGUGCGGAGCCAGGGCGGCACGGUUUGCACCGCUGUCCCAGAGGCUGCUGUGCCUCUCUUGUCUGUUUCUUGCAAGGCAAACUUGGGCCUGUGUCCUCUGGAAACUGCUGCUGUAGAGACCCCGCGGUGUUUGCAGCGGUCACCCCAGGCUCGUUCCUUAGUGCGAGAUGGUCCUGCGCGCGGCCUUUUCUGCUGUUACACCACUUCUGGGGCCUGCGCCCUGGUACAAAGCAGCUGCUCACCUCACGGUUCAUCCCAAGUGCUGGCAUUUCUUCCUCAGUCAGAAAGGCCGGGGAGUGUGUUCGCCCUGGAGAGAGCAGCUGGCCUCUUGGGGCUGGGCCAUGGCCUGAGAGCGGCUGGGCGGACAGCAGGGUUCUGGCACAGCCGGUGGCCUGCAGCAGGCAGUGUGCAAGACGCAGCAGAGCCCCCUGACCGCCCUCCGCUCCUCUGCACCUGUUUGCAGAAUGUGCCCUGAAAGCUGUUAAAUCGUGGUUCUAUGAUUGUUUAAAUCAAAAGAACACAUGUGUUUAAAAGCCAAGUAUUACAAAUGUUUCAAUAAAAUCAGUAGUUUCAAUAAAAUCAGUGUACCAGGCA